GGGCAAGUCUGGUGGACCGUUCAGUCUCGAGAUGCUGACGCCAGAGAUAGUGGGGCCCCCCGCAGGUUGGCUGCGGCGGGGGGUUACGCCCGCUAGUCGAGCGCCCACGGCAGCGGUGGGUGGGCGCCGGCGAGGUGACUGGUACGGGGAAGCCUAAGGGCCCGCGGGCCUACGGUGAUCCCGUGGCGAGCCUCCCCCCCGAGCGGGUGGGUGGGAGGCCGUCGUAACGCGCGGAAAGGCACCGGCCGCCAGCCUUCGCUGGCGGCUCGAGGGACGUGCUGACCCAUCCGAAAGGAUGCCCCCGGCUGGAGCGCCCACCGCGCGAAGGCCGGGGGGGACGGGACCCCCCGUCCGGACGAGGAAUCGGCCAGCAGCCGCGGUAAUUCCAGCUCCAAUAGCGUAUAUUAAAGUUGUUGCAGUUAAAAAGCUCGUAGUUGAACCUUGGGUCAGGCUAGCCGGUCCGCCUUACCGCGUGCACUGGUUCGGCCGGACCCUUUCCUCUGGCAAACCGCAUGCCCUUCGCUGGGCGUGCCGGGGAACCAGGACUUUUACUUUGAAAAAAUUAGAGUGUUCAAAGCAGGCCUUUGCUCGGAUACAUUAGCAUGGAAUAAUGGAAUAGGACGCGUGGUUCUAUUUUGUUGGUUUCUAGAACCGCCGUAAUGAUUAAUAGGGACAGUCGGGGGCAUCAGUAUUCAGACGCGAGAGGUGAAAUUCUUAGACCGUCUGAAGACUAACUACUGCGAAAGCAUUUGCCAAGGAUGUUUUCAUUAAUCAGUGAACGAAAGUUGGGGGAUCGAAGACGAUCAGAUACCGUCGUAGUCUCAACCGUAAACUAUGCCGACUAGGGAUCGGGCGACGUUCCAAUCAUGACUCGCCCGGCACCUUACGAGAAAUCAAAGUCU
rnacentral:rRNA from 1 species